GCCGCGGUGGGGGAAAGAAGCCCUUCGGGGUGUAAACCCCUUUCGGGCCGGACGAAGCGGUAGGGGGUUAACAGCCCCCUACCGUGACGGUACGGCCAGAAGAAGGGACGGCUAACUACGUGCCAGCAGCCGCGGUAAUACGUAGGUCCCGAACGUUGCGCGA
rnacentral:rRNA from 1 species